rnacentral:rRNA from 1 species
AACGAACGCUGGCGGCAUGCCUAACACAUGCAAGUCGAACGAGACCUUCGGGUCUAGUGGCGCACGGGUGCGUAACGCGUGGGAAUCUGCCCUUGGGUUCGGAAUAACCAGGAGAAAUCCUGGCUAAUACCGGAUGAUGUCUUCGGACCAAAGAUUUAUCGCCCAGGGAUGAGCCCGCGUCGGAUUAGCUAGUUGGUGAGGUAAAGGCUCACCAAGGCGACGAUCCGUAGCUGGUCUGAGAGGAUGAUCAGCCACACUGGGACUGAGACACGGCCCAGACUCCUACGGGAGGCAGCAGUGGGGAAUAUUGGACAAUGGGCGAAAGCCUGAUCUAGCAAUGCCGCGUGAGUGAUGAAGGCCUUAGGGUUGUAAAGCUCUUUUACCCGGGAUGAUAAUGACAGUACCGGGAGAAUAAGCCCCGGCUAACUCCGUGCCAGCCGCCGCGGUAAGAC